GCUUUCGCCAUCCACUCUUUCAUUGCCCUUCCAGGAAACACUGCUGGGUGCCUAAAGACCGGCGCGCUUCUUACACUUGGCAAGAGAAGAUAACAGUAAUGCUACAGCUUGGGCUUUGAAAGAUUAAAAGCAACAUUUAUUCCUUACAGUAUUUUCAAACUUCUUCAAGUUAAUUUGAAAUCCAUUUUAGAGAAUGUUUAACUAGUAAUACUGAUUUAUUUUUUUUUAAUUUCGAAUAUAAUGUACUUGUUAUUUAAACCAAGUAAGAGAUAGAUUAAAGUAAGCGCAGUUCUUCAAAGUGCAUUAAAUGCUUUGAGCAGUCCUUUCCCUGUGCUGGAAGAAAUACCCCGUGCUUCUGGGACUGGUCUCUUUAUGAUAUCUCUGUAAAAGCCCUGGCAAGAAAAGAUCGUGUUUUGAGAGCAAUUUCCAAUUUUUCAGAAACUUUUUGUACCCCUCCCCCUUUCGGUGGCUGACCAACCUCACUGCUAGCCAAGUAGAGCACAAGACUCUCCCUUCCCCAGUUUGUGGGGCUGCUGAUAAAUUAUUCAUACCGCUAAUGAGGAUUGAGAAUUUUCAGGCAUUUUUAAAGGCUUGCAUCACUUCGUCAACAUUUCUUUCACACCUGCAUGCUUCAGGCAGUCAGGUGUUUAAAAUUACCGACACAGAGCUCUGCCCUUCUCCCCCUGAAAGUGCUUUGCUCAACAGUGGAGUCCUGUGGCUAUUUUGUCUGUUUGUCUGCGUGAGGUUUUUUUCUGUGCUAAUUAGCGUGAGGGGAAAGGGGACUCUGAGAGGACUGUGUUAAUUACCAAAAGGGAUCAUGUAUCUCAGCUUAUAUUAAUUUUGAAAUGACAAGACACAGGUGCACAUUUAGUGGCAGUGAAUGAAUGUUAGCAUUUAAAGGCCUUUUUUUUUCUUUUUUUCCUUCUUUUUUUUUUUUUUUUUCCCCCUCCAAUGGAUGGAUCUUCCUUUAGAGGGAGUUAUCAGAAGGAACAAUCUCAAAGUAAGGAAGCCCCUGCUGAAGCUAAGAGCUACAUGAUAUGAAAGGACUGAUUAUGUUUAUAUUAUGUGGUCUCCUGUGAAAAAAUCAAGCCUCCCAGCUAGUAGAGAAAGGUCACUGGAUCUGAGGAAACAACUGACUCAGUGUCUUAAUUCUGAAGGAAAUGAGUCCUUUGUAGAUGAGAGGGAUUUUCUGAUCUAGUUCAGAGAAAGGCAUAGAACUAUGAAAAUAAGUUUUUUAUGUAGGGUUGGAGAAUAAAGAGGAGAAUCAGAAAGACUAGGAAUGGGAAGGUAAAAAAAGUCUCCCAUAUAGGUUUUUUUUUUUUUUUUUCUACAUUUAAAUAUUCCACGGGUGACUGGAAGUGCUGUAUUAAUCUCCGUGCCUCCGUGCAUCAUCCGUAGCACCCUUAAAAAAACUUGGUGGAACGAGAGUGUCUGAAGAGGACAUUUGAAGCAGCAAAACUUGUCUCAAGGAAUAAAGGCAUCAGCACAGGAAGAGGACAGAUGGUGCAUGUUCCUGAAACUGAACCACGGCUCCAUGUUCCCAAAGAAAGUGAAUCCCACAAGGUAGAUGUGGUUUUAAAUGAACUGGGGACACUGACAGUUGAGAAAAGAAGGAAUGCCUCAGGUGAGUGAUUGUCCUGUGGGGUGUCAGACCUGGCCAUCCUUGGUCAAGUUGGCCAUGGGAAAUCUCUCCCCAGGAGGGAUGAGUUGCAGUGGUAUGAAGAGGAGCUGGUGGAGGAGCUCUCUCAGGCUUCCCGCAUUUGCACAAACUGCUUCAUGGUUAUGUUAUGUGCUGAUGCUGUCUUUCUGUUCAUUUCGUUUAAAGGUAGCUUUUAAAAGAAGAGCCUGGAGCAGUUUUGUGCUCACAGGAUGCUCUCUGCUCCUUGCAAUCCUGAGGCCUCAAAACCCACUUCACUUGCCUGGGGGUGCUGAGAUGCUGUACGACUGGCUUUCCUGGGCUGCACUCCAGCUGCGCAGUGUCUUGUGUUAAACUAAUUUAUUCUCUCCAAAGAGAUUACUGGCAUUUAAAUGGUUAUUAAUUAAGGAGAAUUUGUGUUUUUCUCACCUGAUUUUUUUUACAUGCUUGGAAAUAGCAUUUAUUCACGCAAGUUUCUGCUGAAAAACGACUUAUUAAUUCACCUCAGCCUGUGGCCAGCAGUCUUUUGAAGCAAAAGUGCAAGGACUGGUGUAGGUAAGUUACAUGUGUUGCACAGGGAAGAUGUUUUCCUGGCUCACACUGGUAGAGGAUGAUAUUCUCUGAACUGUGAGAGUUCCUAAACCUUCCAGAAGACUUCUGCUUGAUUUUCAAGCUUUAUUAUGCAUGGACUGAGCCUUUCAUACUUAGGUUUACUGGAUGGUAGACUACCAUAGAAAUACUUCCUCCCAUAUGUACAAGGAAGCUGGACUCAAGUAUUGCUCACUUUGGAAAAAUGCCCCUGCAAGUUCCUGAAUUUCUUUGGCACGCAUAACAGAGUGGACAGAAGCAUCUCAAUCUUCACGUGUGGUGGUGUUGGGCCAGGUACAGCCUGCCUACAUGGAUCAUGUCUCCAGAGACACUGCUUACUGCUUUGGGUAAAGCAGUGGCAGUGGAGAAGAAGCAUUUACCUGAAUAUCUGCAAAAUGCAAGCAGAAGGAAAGCUGUGGUUCAAGGUGCUGAAGAAAUGCCAAAGGACAAGCUAAUGCUGCAUGUUGCUAGCCACCUGCUGCAGGAUACUUCACCCAUUUGGAGAACCGUGCAUAGAACACUACCACCUUCAGUCAGCAGGAUGUGUCUGAUACGAGAGCUGCUACCUGCCACCUGAUGUGUCUCACCCUGGGAGACAGGACGAUGAAUAACAUUUCUACCCUGAAGUCAAAUCAUCUGCUUAGCAUCUUGCUCUGGAAGGACCCACAACUGCAGCUCUGGCACACAGAGAACAGGACGCCUAAAUGGGGAAUGCUGGUGCUCAUCCACUCCUGCUGCGUGAAUGAACACUGUGAGAAUUCCCUUGACACAGGAAAGUGUUGUGGACUUAUCCUCCUAAUUUUCUUGAGAAAGGAUGGAGUCUUUUGUAUAUUACAUAGAAAGAAUAACAGAAGUUCUUUGGAAAAACAAAAUAUAUGCUCUGCGAUUUCUGAAGUGAGAGUACACAGAGUUCAGGUAUGCCAAUUCCAUUUGCAUGUUUCUUUGGAAUGCUGAAAUGAAUACAGCAAAUGAAUAGUAAUGUCAAGACACUGCAAAAACAAAAAGCACUGAAAGAGAAUUCUCGUGGACUGAUGAACUGAGAGCUGAAAUGGGAGCAGCAGAUUUUACAGUGUGAGUGAUGCUAAUUUUUCAGCCUAACAACCAACCAUGCACUGAAGCCCUGCUACUUCUGAGCUGACAUCAUCCAGAUGAGAAAGCUUCUUUCUAGUAACUUAUCAGCCUGGAAAACCAGCCCUGCAGGGUAACACCCAACCCAUGCUUUAAAUGUCAAGGAGAAAAACAUCUUUGUAUUGCCGAGCAGUCACAGCAGCUUCACUUCUGAUUUGAUAGCCUUGGAUGGAAGCAGGUACCAGCAUGAUGAUUCAGAAACCCUUGAAGAUAUAGUCAUAUUUUCAGCAACAGAUGGAUUUAACACUGCAGAUGGAGUGUUAAGAGUGCAGUUGUCUGUGGACUCUGAGAACAUAUUUAAAACCAGAAUUCUCUCUGGAACAUUGACUCUCGCUUGAUGGUAUGAUAGACUUCUACUUUAGAUCUGGAUUCAGAAGUAGUGGAUCACGCUUUAAUGUUGGUCUGCCCUCAUCAUUUGGAAGAGAAAAAACAAACAUUCCUGUGCCUCAGCUCAUCAGUGUCUGCAGCUGACUCAAUCAGCUGUAGAACUGAAGGGAAGGAAACAUAAAUUGAUGUGAAGAAAAUGUUCUCCCUGAAGCUGCACAAGCAGCAAUGAUUGUCAAAAGCUGAUCUUUAUCCCUUCAAAGACCUGCAGAUGGGGUCACUGAUCACAUCGUCUCAUUCAUUGGUUGGACUUCUAUAUACAACGUUUGGAAUAAAGCACACACUUUUUUAAAGCUGAACUUUGAAGCCGAUCCCUCUGUAACGCUUGGUGGAACUGUCUAGCUUAGUUUGUACACUGUCACAUGAACAGAUGCUGACAUGCACCUGUAGUUGGUCUCCACUGGGAACCAUAUCAUGUAAAAGUAGCUGGACAAUUUAUGAACUCACUUCAUGAUAAAAGAAUAGGUUUUUAUGUAAAGAGCCUUCAGUGAAAAGCAUGUGCUUUGUGUGUCUAGUUUUUUGGUGGUUUUUUUUCUUUCUUUUUUUUUUUUU
rnacentral:lncRNA from 1 species